UCACUUAAAAUAGAAAAACUUACCUGAAAAUUAUCUUUUAAGACUUUGAUGAAUAGAGAUACAUUUGUGGUUUCACAUCAUUAUUCCACCAGUAAGGCUCACAAAUACGUUAAUAUAAACAACAAUUGAACAAAUAUAAUAAUAUUUGGUGUAUGUAUAAAUUUUUUGAUGUGAACUCUUGAACAUGUGGUCUUUGCACUUUCAUUGAUAUACUAAAAGCAGCAGCCCAUUAAACCAGCAAAACUUGUGUGGGGGAUGGAGAGCAUGGCGUUGAUAGGAGUUCCUAAUCUUCUUUCAACUUCAAGCAAAGAGGAAUUUCUUCAGAUAUAGCACGCCUACAACUCGAUGUUCAACAUAUAAAGACCUGCCAUGAAACAAUAUAAAUACUUAGAACAAAUCAUAUGAUAUUUCAUAAAACAAAAAAAAGUCACAUUAUUGAUGAGAAGGAAAUAAAUAGCAGUAGUCUGCUAGCAGAAAUAUACCAUUAACUUUAGCUUGAUUAUCAUAAAUGUUGUAGAAAGAUAAAACAGUGAACUUCAGUCUCCACACUAACACAAACUCGAUUUACAAAAUUUGAAAAAAAUGAUAUUUUCAAAAAAAGAAAAAAAAAAAGAAGUUCAAACUUAAAACAUGAAAAUGUGUAAAUGACUAAAUGUUAAGAAAAUGCUAUCUACAACACACUCCACAACUUCAACCAAUCCAAAAUUUAUCAUCCAUGUGUUUGUUUGCUAGUUCUUUUCUCUUAUCCUUCAUUUUUUUGUUUCUUUUUUGGAAAAUUGUAAGAUAUAUUAUCUAAAGGAACUUCAUUUUACCAAUUUCUACAGUUAUAAGAAGCCACCCAUUGUUUUUCGAUAUGUAUUCUGCAAUAUUAGAGUAAAUUUUCAUACUCAGGAGUCGCGCCGGUCGUUAUGACUUUCAAUCCAAAGGCCAACAAAAGAGUAGUACACUUUCAUCGGUGAAAACUUUCAAAAGUCACAAACUAAAUAAUUAAGAGUAUAGCAAAACAUCACUUGUGCAGAAGCUGGAUUAAAAAAAAUAGUACCUGAAAAUAAUAGCAGUGUCAUUCCUAAAUUUCUCUAGCGUCUUUCCAUAAUCUUAAGAAAGGAAGCAUUUCAAAGAUCCUAAGACAAUUUCUCAUAGCUUUUUGUCUCUGCUGUCGCGACAAUCUGCCAAAGAAAAAAACAUAACCCAAAAUAAAAAGUCAUGUUCUUUUCUUCAAUAUCAUCAAACAAUCCAGAUGCAAAGGCAAGUACCGAAAAAUUCAUCGUACCAAAAACCAUUCCGAUUGAAGCAGAGGAAACUAUUCAUUCAUUAACUUUGUUAGCGGAAGCGUGAAAUUAAAGAACAAGGAAGAACAACAAUAUUUAACGUGAUUUGGAUAAAAAAUGAUCUUACGUCCACCAAAGAACAACUGCACUAAUAUUUAUUCACUCUACAAAGAAUACAAGUGAAAUACUACAAGAGAGAACAACAAAUGCCUUAGAAGGUGAAAAAGCAAGUGAGAGGAUGAUUUGAAAAUGAAUUAAGAGCUACUUAUUUAUAGGAAUGAAUUCUUCUUAUUAAUGUCAUCCAUGACAUCACUAUGUGUCAAAAAAUGUCAAGGUUAAACAUGUGAAACCAUUUUAUGGUUUACCUAAAUUUCACCUACCAAGAUACUAUCUUGACUUUUAUUUUGGACUAAUUAUCUUGCUACCAAAUCCUCAUAUUAAUUCAUCUUCCAUUGAGUUUGAUUCCACAAGAACCAAACCAACUCUUUCAAACUUAAGUUCAGCUUUCAAUGGUUUCAUUGUCGUUCUCCGAAAGAAAAUUUGCUGACAUGAUUCAAUCUGGUGGUUGAAAGUGAAGAACCUAUAAAGAAUUAAAUAAAGAAAAUAAAAUAAAAAUUAAAUUCAUAUGCCAAAAUUUCUCCAAUAAUCAUAAUCAGGAUAAAAACUGAAACUUUGAACUUAAAGACCAUAAGAUACAUUUUAGUUAAAGAAGGACGAAAUGAAAUUAAAGCAAUGUCCUACAAUUCUGAAAUUUUCCAUCACUCUUGAAAUUUUAAUUUGGGAAAGAUAAUUGAGCAACACUCAAUUAUUCAAGUGUAAAAACAUUCAACAUUAUUAUAGAUAACUGAUGAUUUAAUUCAACUCCCAGUAGAUUUCACACACAAAGAACUGAAAUAAUCUUUGCAACUCCUUCAAACAGGACUUCUUAGAUUCAGUUCAACUGGAAUGAUCGUUGCAAUUCUAAAAUAAAUUUCAUAUCAGCCUCAACAAUCAAAGAUGACUUCAGUUCUUAAAUCAGAAAAUAACUCAAAAUUUGAUCAACGUUUCAAAAAUCCAACUACUGAAAAAUAGCUCAAAGGAAGUUCCAACUAUCUUCAAUGCAGAAUCUUUCUAAAGUUCACCACAAGCUCCCAAUUAAGUGUGAAGCUUAAUAAAAGGAACAAAAAAAUCAAUUGUCUAUGCAAAAGAACUUGCCUUACACCAAAGUUUACUUCUAGGAUUCUACAUACAUAAGUUCCAUGAGGAUGUCCUCAAAUAUUUAAUAUCAGCUGAAACUUUAAGGUCAACUUUUAAAACAUUAUUAUCAGAACUAGUUUGUACACUUGCUUGUGAGAAUUCAUAUACAUCAGAUUCCUAUUAAAAGUACAAUAAUUAAACAUAUCAUUUUUUAGAAGGCUAUAUCAUAAUGCAUUAUGUAUCUUUUUUUGUUUGUCUUGCAAGUCGAUCAAAAUAGGCAAAUAUAUAAAAUAUUUUUAUUGGAUUCUGAAGUCAUUUUCUGGUGCAUCAAUGAUUACUGUUACCAUUUUAGUCUAAGAGGUGAAUGCCUGAUGGGAAAGAAGAAGAGAAUGGAAAAUCAUAUAUCCUGCUACUUCAAUAUCCAAUUAAAAGCUAUAUGAGAGGUUAAAAAAAUCACUUUCUAAAUAAUGAGAGAGCUAAAUAAUUAGCUAUAAUGCUUUCUAAUUUAAGAAAACAACCAUAUAAUUAUUGAUUCACUCUGUUCAAAGAAUAUACAGGGAACAAGUAAAAAAUUCCGUACAAUUUUCAGAAAACAUAUUUAUUAAUGUAGAGUAUUCAAACAAACAUAUUUCUGAAUGUACAAAAUUAAAAUAAAAUUACACAGUAUAAGCAUAAUAUACUAUUGAAAGAAACUUCCUAAAGAAGAUGAUUUUACCAAUAAUAAAGAUUCUUCUGUGAAAUUGCACAAAAAUAAAUUCAACUUACUUAAUGAAAUCAGAAAUGAAACAUAAUUAAAGAAUUUAAGGAGGUUAUCAAUAAUUAACUCUUUCCAACUUGAAAAUUCACACCUCUUCAUAGGUUUCAAUCCUCCAUUUUUUGGUUAUAAUCCAUGUUUUAUCAACACAUUCAAUUGUCACUACACUGUUCAGUGUAACCAAUCUUUAUGGCAGUGGGUGAUACUACAUGAUUCGAAGAGCGUUCAAAUCAAGUUCGCCUAACACAAAAAUGCCACCGUCUUACCAAUUUAACAAGCCUAACAAGUCUAUAGGGAGGUCAUUUAAAUACUAACAUUUCAUAAUGCAAAAGAAAAAUUCUUCAACAAUCUAGCAAAGAUGAACUUUCAGACCCAUAAAGAUGUAAAUAUCUACCAGAAAUUAUUGAACCCAUGAGGUUAAAGAAAAAUUCAUUUGAGAUAAGUUAUAGAAAGAGACAGAUCGCUUUACCUUUAAAGUGGCAAAAAACUUUCAUAACCAGCAUAACAAUCCACCUAGCUAUUAUUAAUUGAUCACCAUCAGUUCAAAAUUCUUUUGUAUCCUGCAUCAAGUUGUUCCUAUCAGUAAGCACACAACAUGAUAGAUUAUCAUCUCAAAUAUUAAACUUGUCAGGACAUAAUAUAUAGGACCGUAAGUUAGCACCAAAUAUGAUGAGUCAUUAUUGCUUUUAUUAGCCUUCUGAAUCAAAGUUUCAAGCUGAUCAAUACUUGAUAUUAAAGUAAGGAACCUCUUGGAAAGUAGGCAGAGGAUCUCCUCUAGGGGUUAUCAGGACGACAUAAACAUGCUUGCUAAGACUCAAAUAGAUUUAGAGUUAACUGAGAUGAGGAGUAUGACACCUCAAGAGGCAGCAAUAGCUAUUGCAGAAGCAGAAGCUGCACAAGCCUUUGCAGAAGUUUAAAUGAAGGCACUACAAGGGAGAAGCACUCCGAAGAUGGUAACAUAUUUUUACAACAUCAUACCAGUCCCUUUUUCCUUUCUUUCGUUUCCUCAUAAUUGAGAUAAUUUCUCCUUUAUCUUCCUACAUUUUUAGGCAAUGUUUAGGACUCAAGACCCCUCAAUGAACUUAUGUUACCUUUUCGUAUUUGUGGUAUCCCUUAAGCUUAGCUUAGAUGAUAUUUCUCUAAGUUUUGAUGGAUGUUGUUACUGAAUUCUCUCUAUUAAAACAUUUAGUUUGAUCCAUUUAUGGUAUAUGUCAUUAAUUAAAGAGCUGGAAUGACUUAGUCACAUAUCAGUUGAUGGUUCAAAGUUCUCCCAUUUCAUAAACAAACUCACAAGCAUCUUUAUUUGUAUGUUUAUGUCAUUCCUCUUCAAUGCUUGUUCUUGUGACAGAAAAUUUGAUAUCAUGAGGUCUUUUUGGUUGAUUACGAAGUAAGUAUUACCUAUUUAGUGGCAAGUCUUUUACAUCGUUAGUUUGCAGUAGCUUGAGUUGGGUAUUUCGAAUGAUCAGAAAAUUAUUGCUGAUCAGCCAACUGCUCAUCAUCCAACUUCACAGGUGUUUUGCUGCUCAUAUUUGCAAUAAAUGAAAUACUCAAUAUGCAUUGCACAAUUCUCAUCAGAAUUACAAGAAAUAAUAUAUGGAUUCGCAGUAUUGAGAUUGAAAAAAGAUAUGUGAGUCCCUAAAUGAAUUAGAGAUAACGAUCAGUAGGAAAAUAGUACAAUACACCUCCAUGUUUAGCAUGAUAUCUUCAAGUAUAAGGCACCAUAGUCCCUAAACAACUUGUGCAUUUAAUGAUUGAUAAGCAAAGUUAACAAUUAACUCUAGCAUACCUAAAUAUAAAUGUGAAGCUAAUGAGAAACACAUUGAGGAUAAUACCAACGGCCAAAAAUAAUUUAUCAAUGCACCCAUUAUUUGUGUUAGGCAGUGCAAAUUUUCAAAAAUAGAGAUAUGUACACUUUAAGUUAAAUAGCUAAUCCAACAUAUUAUCAGUUUCCGCUAGCUUCUUGUUUAUUUAAUCUCCCUUAUACUUCAAUAGAAUUAAAUAUUAGCUCGUGUAAUUUAGGCCUCAUGAAAUAGAAAAUAUAAGUGAACCAAAGAAGUUUUAAAGUCCCUUAAAAGCUGAAUAGAAUACUAAUUGUUACAACAAAUGCUCUGUAAAAGAAUUAUCUGCACCACACAUAAUUUGAUCAUGGAUAGAGUCGGAUAUGAGAAAGUAUAAUGCUCUGCUAAGGAAAAAAUAAAACAAUUUCUUACAAUCAAAUUAGAGAAGAUAAAGUAUAGUUAAGGAGUGAUAUUUGUUUUUCAAUAUUGAGAUCGUAUACCAGGAAAUUAUGAACUUACUCAUAAGAAAUGUAUAAAUUGGGUAGAUUUUUUUUAAUUGAAGUUCUUAUGCUCCAUUUUCUCACCUGAGAAAUUAAUAAAUUGAAAAAACACUCACAUGAACAACACAACGAAAUGAACACUAAAUUUCAAUAAUCAAUUAUUUUUAAAAAAAUCAUAAAUUAAAAAUAAGGUGAGGAGAAGGAGCAAAAGAGGAGAAAGAACAUCUGAUUAACUAUAAAUACAGUGCAUGCAACAUUACUGCAAACAAACUGAAUGAAAAAUUAAAUAAAUAAAAAAAAUUAACAAAAUAAGACCUAAAAUAAAACAAAUCAGAGAUGCAGAUGCCCGUUAGAUAUCACUGAGAUUUUCUGGGCAGUGAAAAAAACCUAACCAUCAACGAUUGAAAGAAGAAGGUAGAAUAAAGCUAGUUAAGAAACAAAAAAAAUGAAAGAAAAUAAAAGAUGAAAAAAAGGGAAUGGAAGAGGCAGUGGGUAUAGAGAUGACUAAAGUCUCACCGAGCAUGCAAGGCCUUCCUAGAAGAUGAACAAUUACUGAGCAACAUUUUCUCAAAAGUUGG
rnacentral:lncRNA from 1 species